GACGAACGCUGGCGGCGUGCUUAACACAUGCAAGUCGAACGGAAAGGCCCUGCUUUUGUGGGGUGCUCGAGUGGCGAACGGGUGAGUAACACGUGAGUAACCUGCCCUUGACUUUGGGAUAACUUCAGGAAACUGGGGCUAAUACCGGAUAGGAGCUCCUGCUGCAUGGUGGGGGUUGGAAAGUUUCGGCGGUUGGGGAUGGACCCGCGGCUUAUCAGCUUGUUGGUGGGGUAGUGGCUUACCAAGGCUUUGACGGGUAGCCGGCCUGAGAGGGUGACCGGCCACAUUGGGACUGAGAUACGGCCCAGACUCCUACGGGAGGCAGCAGUGGGGAAUAUUGCACAAUGGGCGGAAGCCUGAUGCAGCAACGCCGCGUGCGGGAUGACAGCCUUCGGGUUGUAAACCGCUUUCGCCUGUGACGAAGCGUGAGUGACGGUAAUGGGUAAAGAAGCACCGGCUAACUACGUG
rnacentral:rRNA from 1 species